CGUCCGUCCGUGCCCCGGCCGACCUCCCCUCCCCUCCCCUCCGUCCGCUCUAUAUAACGCCACGCCCACCUUCCCCGGAAGCCACGCAACACAGAUCCUCGGAUCAAUUCCGCCCGCCAACCGGAAGAAGAAAGAUCAACCUUUGCUUCUCGCCGCCGGCGCCGGUGAGGAAGGAAGGAAGCGGGGGAUCCCACUCGGUGUUGCCGGUUUGGAGCCAGGGUGAUGAGCUGCCUCACGUUCCGCCGCUCCGCCGACGCAAGCCGCCUCCAGGACGGCCUCCUCGUCUUCAUGUUCUUCAUCUCGAUUCCCAUACGUAGUCUGAAUCUGAAUAGUAAUCGUGCUAGUAGCAAUUCUAGUACGUAUUAUUACUAGUAGCACCAGCAGUCUCCUGUAAACGUACGCUGCUCGUGCUCGCGCUCGCGCGGACGGAGGGGUCUUCCUCUGCUGCUGCUCCGUCUGCAUCUUCGUCUUCUGCUUCUUCUUUCCCUCGGUCGACGGCCGCGACGGCGGCCAUGGAUCCCAGCAGCUUCAAAACCGGAGGCCUUCUGCUUCCAACCAUUGAGAGACGGUGCGCUUCGCCUCCAUCUGUCAUCGUGAUCGGCGGCGGAAUCUCGGGGAUUGCCGCGGCUCGUGUCCUCUCCAACUCCUCUUUUGAGGUGACUGUCCUUGAGUCGAGAGAUCGAAUUGGUGGCCGUGUUCAUACGGAUUACUCCUUCGGAUGCCCCAUCGACAUGGGAGCCUCAUGGUUGCACGGUGUCAGUAAUGAGAAUUCUUUAGCACCAUUGAUCGGCCAUCUUGGGCUGAGAUUAUACCACACAAGUGGUGACAACUCUGUUCUGUAUGACCAUGAUUUGGAAAGCUGUUCGCUCUUUGAUAAGAACGGCCUUGCAGUCCCAAUGGAGACAGCUGCUAAAGUUGGCGUGAUAUUUGAGAAAAUUCUCAAGGAGAACAGUAUAACUCCGUGAUGAGCAGGAACACGACAUGCCCCUUGAACAGGCCAUCUCAAUGGUGCUUGAGAGGCACACCUGAUCUCAAGCUACAAGGGCUAGAUGAUCGAAUCCUGCAAUGGUGUGUCUGCCGGCUGGAGGCAUGGUUUGCUGCAGAUGCAGACGAAAUAUCUCUGAAAAACUGGGAUCAGGAACAUGUUCUCACUGGUGGCCAUGGUCUGAUGGUGGAUGGAUACUAUCCUGUAAUUCAGGCUCUCGCUCAAGGUCUCGACAUCCGUCUGAAUCAGAGAGUAAAGAAAAUUGCACACCAGCAAAAGGGAGUGACGGUCACCAUCGAGGACGGCACACAAUACUCGGCCGACGCCUGCAUAAUCACUGUGCCGCUUGGUGUGCUGAAGGCAAACAUAAUCAAGUUCGAGCCCGAGCUGCCAUCCUGGAAGAGCUCUGCCAUCGCCGACCUUGGCGUCGGCAUAGAGAACAAGGUUGCCAUGCACUUCGACAAGGCCUUCUGGCCCAAUGUCCAGGUGCUGGGCAUGGUUGGCCCGACGCCAAAGACCUGCGGCUACUUCCUGAACCUCCACAAGGCCACCGGGCACCCGGUGCUUGUCUUCAUGGCCGCCGGUCGGUUUGCCCAGGAUGUGGAGAAGCUCUCAGACAAGGAGGCCGUUGAACUCGUCAUGUGUCACCUGAGGAAGAUGAUACCCAAUGCCACUGAACCCAGUCAAUACCUGGUGUCACGGUGGGGCUCAGACCCGAACUCGCUGGGGUCCUACUCGUGCGAUCUGGUGGGGAAGCCGUCGGACGUCUGCGAGAGGUUCUCGGCGCCUGUGGAGAGCGUGUUGUACUUCGCCGGAGAGGCGGCCAGUGCGGAGCACUCAGGCGCUGUGCAUGGUGCCUACUCGUCUGGGAUGGACGCUGCAGAGGAAUGCCGGAGGAGGUUGCUGAUGAGGAAAGGCGUCCCCGACCUUGUCCAGGUCGGCGCCGCCUCCGAGGAGAUGGCCGACAUCGUCGCCCCUCUCCAGAUUUGCCGCACCUAGAGAUGAUUCUUGGAUACAGCUGCGUCCUGCCAUGCCCGAUUGAUUUGAUGAUUGACAAAGCCAAUCAAUGUGCAGUCAAUCAGUCCGAAUCGGCAGAACGCAGGAUUGAAUUCAAUUUUUUUUACAGCUUCUAUUUUCUUGUCUUGAUUGGGAUCAAGAAACCUUUGAUUGCCUGUGCUUGUGCACCCUGGACACUUGAUUUAUAGUGUUACCUAUGUUAUGUUAUGUUCAGUGAAUCAAUUUAAUACAAGUGACAUUUGGGGACUGAA